GCAAUUAGGGUUUAGAACGAAUCCCUCAUUGUUCUCUCCGCCGUCUCUUCCACUCUCUUUAGUUAUCGCCACCGCUCCCUCCUCAGGUCUUUCUAUAUAACAUCUCAUUACUUCUUCUGAAUUUAUUUAUUUUUUUAUAAGUUUUCGGUCCAUGUAGAGUAUAUUUUCUUCUGCUAGCGCCCUUUUGCCUGUGAUGGUAUUAAAUAUACUCCGAGAUUUAAAUAUCUAUGAAAACAAUUUUAAUCUGAGGCAUUUAUUUAGGAUCUUUUCUUUUUGUUAGUUUAAUUAUUUUUUUUAAUUUAAUUUCUGCUGUUUUAAUUGUCUAUGGAUAAAAUGCAGGUGAUGAUAAAAUAGACAGGGACAUCAGCUACUCCUUUUUUAGGGAGGAUGAUGACUAAGUCUAAAAUGGGAAUCUCUCUGAUGCAUUUUUCAUAGAUUAAAAACUGUGAAUUUAGUGUUUUUUUCUGUAUAUAUAAUUGAAUUGGUUUUUGUGCAAAUGAUGAUAAAAUAGACAGGGACAUCAGCUACUCCUUUUUUAGGGAGGAUGAUGACCAAGUCUAAAAUGGGAAUCUCUCUGAUGCAUUUGUCAUAGAUUAAAAACUGUGAAUUUAGUGUUUUUUUUUCUGUACAUAUAAUUGAAUUGGUUUUUGUGCAAAUGAUGAUAAAACAGACAGGGACAUCAGCCACUCCAAUUGAAAUUGGAGAAUGUUGACUAUGUCUAAAUGGGAAUCUCUCUGAUGCAAAAAUCAUUUUUUUGGGGAUUAUUGUUUGAUUUUAGUGUUGGAGAACUGCUAUAGACAGCGGUGGUUAUCUAUGUUUCUGCAUUUGGGCUUGUUUAUGCAAAUCACUUAUGACCACAGCGUUCACGUGGCUAUGUCAUCUGCAUGGAUGGUUUCGAUGCAUGACCUUGGAUAGUUGCGGCUGUGUUUUGGAAAACAUCCUUUUGAAAACUGCUUUGUUUUAUUGAUUUGAUUUAUGUAGCUGUUCGUAAUGGUAUGUGGGAUGUCUUGCAUUCUAAACAGCCUUUUGUUUUGCAAAAUGGUAUCGCAACAGUUUCUGUAAAAUUUCUUUCUUUUUUCUUUCCUGGAUGAAUAGCAUGGAUGAAUGAUCUGCCAGUGAUGCAAUCAUAAUUCACGUAUUAUCAGAUAUGAAGAUGAUGAUGAUACAUGAUUGUCACUACCUCUGAGGCAAAGCUAUUAUCUUGCUCCCACAAUGCUUCUUGUGCUACUCUGUGGGAGAAUUUUCCCUCGAACAGUUUUUUUUUCUUUUUUUUUUUUUUAAAUUCCCUGAUUUUCUAAUGUUAAUGUUUUCCCUUGUGGUUUGGUCUCAUGCGUUGGACGUGUCUAGUAGUGUCAAGGCCUGAUGAUUAUAUUACAAGAACGGAGAUAUGAAUGGUGCCGGUUGUUGUAGCCUGAAUAUAUAUUAUUGGGCUCCGGCGGCACCUCAUGUAAAAAACUACUGUGGUUGAAAAUGAGGGCUUUUCCAACCUUUUGAGGCUGCCGAUUGAUUCCCAAAUAUGGGAUAGUACAAUCUUGAGACCACAUCGCUCUUGUUGAUUUUUAUAUUUAUUGCCAAAAACUUC
rnacentral:lncRNA from 1 species